rnacentral:lncRNA from 1 species
CAGCUUUCCCCUCAGCAUUUGAACCCAGGAGCAUAAAGGAGACCUGAGUCAUCAGUGACUCACAUGGGCCACUUCUAUUUGUCAAUCCAAGCUGGGAUCUUCCCACUCUGUUCCACUGCUUUGCGGCUCAUUAAUGCUUACCUUCCUACAGCAGACAGGAAAAGAAGUCAGUUCCCUGUGGCAUGGUGAAUCUGAGUGUGACCCACAGCGGGCAAUAGAGGCACCCUGCUGAGCCUGUCUGUGAGCUCUGGACACCAAGAUCUAUCCCCUGAAGAUGAAGCAACCAAAGAGGCAGAGUGUUUUACUCAAGUCACAGAGCCGGUGAAGUUAAAGCCUACACUAGACUAAAGCCUGGAGUUUUAGAACACUUCUCCUAAGCUCACUCACAGCCCACCUGUUCCAAGUGCUGCCUGAGUGGCACCAUGGUGACUUCAGGAGCCUGAAACCAACAAGGGCACAGCUUUCCCCAGUGGGGAGGGAUUGCUGCUACCCCACAUCCUGCUUCCUGUCUCUAUGGUUAAUAGCAGGAAUCAACAGGAGGAACAGGUGAAGGCUGCAGCCACAGCUCCCUCUUCUGUCUCUGGGCCUGGGAAAGGACAGAAAAUCCAGCAGCACAGCAUGGCCGCCCUCCAUUUCCCUACAGCCAGCUGGAGGACCUGCAGGCGAGCCAUUCCAUUCCAAAGCAGAAGAAUGGCUUGGCCAGAGGUCACCACACACUUGAGUACUGCCACAGCCUGUCUCAGCUCACUUGAUUGAGACUCCAUGUUCUAAAAAGGGGGUAAACUGGGUAUGAAGGUGUUUGCCAGAGUUGGAUGGAGGCAAGAAAGGGACUCUGUGGCUCUGGGACAGACUGCCGGGGACAGAGUGCUUGCAGACCUGGAGGCCCAGAGCCGCCAGUGAUGGAGGAGCAGUGAGGCUCUCCAGAGCAGUGUGGACAGCAGGAUGUGGUGCACUCGAUGGCAUUUCCUCCAAAUAGAAGCAUUUUCUCUCGUGUAGAGGAGGGAACUUGGGAAGCUAGGGAAACUUACAAGGCUGGAGAAUGUGCAAAGGAUGCUGAGAGCUCCUCCCUGCCCUCAUAUAAGUCAGGAUGAUCCUUGGGAAAGGGAGCUCUUUAGCCUGCAAGCUGAGCAAGGCCCCUUCAGCACUGGGAUUGCCAAGUCCAUCAGGGGCCCCUGACAAGGCCCCACCAGGGAGCGCCACUUCAUCACUGAAGGAGGGCCCCAGAAGUUUGCACAGAGCCCUCCCCCACACACACAUGCUCUCUUCAUGAGUGGGACUAUGGCAAGAAGGCAUGGGCUCAGUCUUGGGAGCAGAGGGCAGGGCACAUACCUGCUUCUGCUGCCAUGUCCAUCCCAACCUGGGAAAUAAGUGACCUAUGCAGCCUGCUUCCUUGCACUAGAGUUUCUCUUACCUAGACCUUCAGGAACAUUCUUCAGGGACACACCCCAUGUCAGCAUCUGGGUGGCAACCAGUAAGUCAGUCACUUGUGAUCAAGAACAAAGCCAAGGAGCUUGGAGCUAUUGAACCUGAUGGUAGCUAGAGAACAAGACCAAGACCGGACAGGGGUUCCCAGGAGCCAGUGCCUCCUUGGUCCUUACCGUGUGACCUUAAGCAAGCCACACUUCAGUUUCUUAUUUAUAGAACAGUAGCAUGGUAUCUUGAGAUAAUCUCUAGGGUUUCCAAUGCAUGACCUCUUGCCAUGGAACCUUUGCUGCAACUCUUCCUCUGCCUCACCAUUCCACACAGCCACUUCCUGUUUCCUCCUUCCGUCUCUGCCUAGAAGCUUUCCCAGGACACCUGAGCUGGGUUAGGUCAUCCUGCAGACCCUGCUCCCUAAAUUUCCCCUACCUGCCUUUUGUCUUAAAUGAGUUGGACCAACACAUGUGGAGUGUUAGUUUCAUCACCACAUUGUGUAUCAGCAGGGUCAAGAAUCCCAGCUCUCCAGUUCACCUCUGUGUCCUGUCCCCAGGGCUAGCACUGAACUGGAGACAUCGUAGAUGCUUAGUAAAUGAAUAUUGACUGACAGGCUGCAUUAAACAUCAUAAAUGAAAGAGUUGAAAGAUUUUACUUUGCUGAGAGAAAAAGUUUUGAAAGAUUUUAGUUCACAGAGAGAAAAAGUUUCCCACAGGCCUUGGCCCAUUACAAGGAAAUUGGCCCCAACCCCGGGCACAUCCUAUGGUUUAGAUGGGGGCAAUUGCCAAGACAACCCCCUCUUUGGUCACACCUGGCUGGCCAACAGACAAUCAAGGACUUUUCAGGGUACAUUCUGUGGUUUUUCCUUUGUAAAAAAGCAGGUCACACCUGGGUGACCACUCUAACAUGAGGUCAUACUUCGUAAUCCGUCACUUUGUGCCCCUUGCCUGUAUGCUGAUCUGCGG